UGUAUCCACUGGCCUCUUACAUGGUUGGACCAAGCCAUAUGGUGACCUUAAAAAGGCAGAUCAUCAUAAAAGGUUGGUAAAUCACCAAAAUGGUGAUUUCAGUCCUAAGUAAUUGCUCUUUUUUAACGCAUACAUUUGGUACAUGCUGAGUUUUAUGUCACAAGUUUUGUCACAAGACAUUUGCCUUCGGAGUCUCUCACUCUGCCUGUGAAUUAUCUCAUCUAUUUUCCACAUUCAGACUGUAUUAUUUUUUUUUGUUUGUUUGUUUUGUGCUGUGUUACCCAUGGGAGUUUCUCUGAAAUCGCUUUAUCUAUCCAUCAUAGGUCAUAGUGUAUUGCAUGUCAUACUGAUUCUUGUGGGUCACAUCCUAGGCUUCUCAUUUGCAUCCACCUCUGAGUAUUUUUUUUAGGUUGAACUUGAAGCUAGUACAGAUGGAUUUGAUCAGCUAGUGGUUAGGCAAAUUACAAAAUGAAAGUGAGGGGAAAACACAAGGGGAAACACUGGUCAUACUAUAUCUGGGUUAAUUGCAAAUGAGAAACCUUAUUGUGUUGACACAAGAAAAACACUGUGAUUAACAUAAAACAAUAAGCAUUAAUCUUUUUUUCCUCUUUCUCACUUUCUUUGACAUUUCUCUCUUGGACUCCCAGGAACUGCUAUUGAACUAGUUGGUGAGGUACAAAGACAAUGUGGACUUGACUCUAACUUCAGACUUCAGUUCAUGGAUACACUAUUUGGACAUGAGUUCAUGAACCUCACUUCAAUGGAUGAAGUACAGGAUAGAGGGACAGUUAGAGUGAUUACCAUGACAGGUUCCUCAACUCCUUAGUGUGCUAAUAUACCCCCCACCUCAGCUGUCCAUCACUCCCUUGAUGAAUCAUCAUCCCUGUCCAGUGGAUGUGUUGACACCAACAUACUCUCUUCACUGGAGUCAUCCAGCUCUCGGUCAUCUUGACCGAGCAUCUUUUGUGUUCCUCAGUUUAGUUAUGAUGCAGAGUUGAAACUUGAGCAGUGCAAUGCAGCUUACAGGGAAAACAGUACAUUGUUUAUUCCACAUCCUAAACUGAAGUCGAACAUUCUUGAGAAUCUGAGAAGAGUCUUGAGAGUGUGAGAAUGGAGCUUGUUUCAGAUGUCAAGAAGAGGAACAACAGGGAGGCUGUAAGGAUGAAAAUAGGAAAGACAUUUGUAUAUAUAAGACAGGAAGUGACUCGCGACACAUCAAAGAUAAAAGACUUCCAGGCGAGAUGGCCAGCACUUUUUGAGAUUAAUGCUGAAUUCAAGUGGAUCACAACAAUGCCCCUGCAGUACAGAUUUCUAUCUCAGUUAGAUGUUCACUCUGAGAAACUGAUCCGACUUUUUAAAAACAGAGGACAGAUAGGCAGACGCCUAGGGAGCAUCAUUGCACCCAUGGAUGAAGAUGAUGACGUGGAUCUGGGAAGAGAAUUUAUCAUAAAGGCACUGUGUUUGCCUGAACGAGGACCCAGAGAAUCUAUUGAGAGAGUAUGUGGUAAGUAUUACUUAGGUUUAGUAUGUUGAGAUGUUAUCACAUUUUGUAUAAGCUUUAAAAAAUCUACUCAUUUGGGCUACGGGGCAGUCACACCGAGCACUGGCCCCUACAGCUAUGAAACAGCUGCAGGGACCAGUGCUCGGGGCAAAGCAUUAUUGUUAUACUAUGGGUUUUUUCUUCUUAUUCCUCUUCCGUACCAAAUUUCGGUUCGCUUCUUGUCCUACAGCUUUGAGAGGACCCAGUUGAAUUAUAUAUCAAAACGUGCAUCUUGAUUGGGAUCGGUGUGCUAUUACCUUUCUCAAUAGAAUAUGAAAACUGCCUUGGUUGCUUCUGUCAUCAUUGACAACCACCUCAAGUUGCCGUGGUAACCUCUGAGCCUUAGGCCAGAGCCACAGUUAAGCUACUGUGUGUGUGUGUGUGGUUGUGUUUGUCUCUGUCAAACACAACCACACACACACUCCUCUACCACACACACGUAUGCACGCACACACGAACACACACACACACUCCCUUACCACACACACACACACACACACACACACACACACACAGGUGACUGACUGUGAUUACAGCUCCUCCAUAUCAGCGCUCAGUGAAAGAUGAUCAUGUGUCUGUCUGAUUAGCUCUGUCUUGACCUUAAAGUCGUGGGUUUGAUUCCCAUGUUGACAGAGAUGGUAUGCAUACAGUGUUUGGUCAAUGUUACCUUAGCUGCUGCCAUGUUGUUUGGCCUAAUUUAUUCUUUGAACUAAAACUACCCUGCUGAACUCAAGUACACCUUUGAAGUGCUGCAGAAGGUGAUCAUGGAGCUUGAAGGCAAUGCACUGUCCAAAAAAGCCCAAGUCCUAAAGAACAGACUUUAUCAGCGAACUGGCUAUCUGGGCUCUCCAGCUGGAUUUCUUGUAAAACAUACCAUAUGCAUUAUUUCACCUAUCUCUUCCAGUUGUUGGACUUUUCUUUUGGGUGGGUAGGAGGCUUUUCUUAUUUAUUAUUAUUUUUUUUCCAUCUUUUUAAAUUGAACUAUAACAGAAUUUCCCCCCCAUUUUUAGAAUUUGGGUGAUUUUUGUUUACUGUGAACACUGAUAAUUGGAAACAAGCCCCUAUAAUUGUUUGUGUUUCACAUUAUGGAACAUUUACAUGUCCUGUGGUCAUGGUCAGGCUGUGUGCUGUAUAGAGUGAAGUGCAGUAGAGUCCCGCAGUAAUGAUAGUCACUGGGCUGUGGAACUCCACUGCACUCUGUAAUCGACUCACAGGGCUUCCCCACUUUAAAUGGUGACUACUGGUGAGAUUUUUAAGAAAAAACAAAAAAUUCAGAAUUUCAGAAUCAGAA